rnacentral:rRNA from 1 species
GAUGAACGCUGGCGGCGUGCCUAAUACAUGCAAGUCGAGCGAACGGACGAGAAGCUUGCUUUUCUGAUGUUAGCGGCGGACGGGUGAGUAACACGUGGAUAACCUCCCUAUAAGACUGGGAUAACUUCGGGAAACCGGAGCUAAUACCGGAUAAUCUUUUGAACCGCAUGGUUCAAAAGUGAAAGACGGUCUUGCUGUCACUUAUAGAUGGAUCCGCGCUGCAUUAGCUAGUUGGUAAGGUAACGGCUUACCAAGGCAACGAUGCAUAGCCGACCUGAGAGGGUGAUCGGCCACACUGGAACUGAGACACGGUCCAGACUCCUACGGGAGGCAGCAGUAGGGAAUCUUCCGCAAUGGGCGAAAGCCUGACGGAGCAACGCCGCGUGAGUGAUGAAGGUCUUCGGAUCGUAAAACUCUGUUAUUAGGGAAGAACAUAUGUGUAAGUAACUGUGCACAUCUUGACGGUACCUAAUCAGAAAGCCACGGCUAACUACGUG